GUUGUUGUUGGCUACAAUGAAGCGGCGCGGCACUGCCACCUAGUGGUUAAAGAGCAGAAGUGUACCUUAACUGUGGUCAUUCAUUAAACUUGAGAACCUCUUUGAACUUUGCUGCAAAAAACAUCUAUAUUUAAAACCACAAUUAAAUUAUUUUUAAAUCACAGAAAUUAGGCUCUCCUCUGUAUUUUGUUUUAUGUGUUAUUGUUGUGGUUUUGAGCGAUUCCCGGGAGAUAACUUUAAAAAAAAACGCGCUUUUAAUUGGAAUUGUUUGCUGGGCGUUUUUUUUUUUAAAUUUUAAUUAAGAGACUCAUCACCACAGCCUUAAGAGAAUAUUUGUUUUGAAUUUGUUCUGAAUUUGAUGGACGACUGUGGUCACACGCUGCUCAAACAUGUGUCUCUUUGUUUUCAAAGCAGAGCAGAGUCUAACAUAUCUGGAUGACACUGGCGACCCUUCAUCCCUACCAUUUACUGUAUCCCUUGAUGAAACAGAACCAGUCCUUAUACAGUCCUUGCAACUCUGAUAGCAAACUUAUCCUAUAUUUAAUUGAGGCCUCAUCCUCCAGUUUCCUUCAAUUUAAGUAGCUUUGACUUUGGAAGAAUCGCCUCAGUCCACGUUGUUUGACUGUCUUUGUCAUCAUUGUUUACAUUGAAAACAAUUGAAGGAUACAUACCAUUGUUUUUAUUCACAUUUUCCCAAAGUUCAGUCUGACGCACUGUAAUGUAUCUUUGUAAACUUUGUGAUCUCACUUUGGGUAUUUGAAUAAUCGAGUUAUCUGGGUGUGGACAGUUUGGCUGCAGUUUGUACUGACUCUCCCGACGGUUGGAUUGAAAAGGUUAAACAUUACAGACUAUUAUAUUGCAUCUUCAAUCAAUUUUUGCCACAGCUUCCCCCUUAAAUGUUUUAAACUGUACAUAUUGUCUUUAUUAGGAGAAAGAGAGAAAAAAAUGGAUUAGAUGAUUGUAAGGGGGACAUGAAAGAAGCAUAUCCUUGUCCUCUAGUCCAACUACACCCUCAAAUAAAACAGUGAUACAAUAAUACAUAACACAUGUGCAAGAAAUUUCCGUGGGGGAUUCCUGCAUGACUCGCACAAGAUUCAAAGCAAGAGAUGCCGUUUGCUGACACAAUGACUUUACUAUGUUAUUAUUUUAGGGCUGUUUGCUGUCAUGACUUCAUCCACAGGCAUUCUUGCAGACAGUUCAAUGAAAUGUAUAAUUACGGCUCCACACCGCACACGGACUCCUGGGGCGAGUUGGGCGACUCAAAUUGAUGAUCUUUCCUGCUUGGAAGAAUUUUUAAAAAAGAGAAAAGAAGCUUUUCACCACACUGUCCAGAGCCUCGUCUGUGUUUCUCUUGAGACAAAGGGGAAGCUCGGAUUUCUACUUUUUGGGGUGGGCCACUUUCUGGAUCCUAAUCAUGCAAGGGAGCAAAUCACUCUGACAUACCAAGGGCGUUAUGUUGGCCUAUUCAAUUCUGGCUUCCAUCUGCAAUAGAUUUCCAGGAACAUGAUGCACUUGUUUGUUCCAUUAGGAGAACAAACCGACAUCAGGCAAACUGCACAAUAAGAGUGAUUUAGGAGUUGGACUUGCAUUGUAAUAAGCCACCCAAUAAAAAUGUAGAAACAUGGCACCCUUAUUUAAAUGAAUGAACAAAACUAAAGCCUCAUUCAUUUUGUUGUUGAAGGAAAGCAUAACCCAUCUAUUCAAACACAUACAUGAAUAAUUUUGGCUGAUAUAUUUUGUUACUUCAAAUGAGUUUCAUUGCUUGAAUAAUAAUACACUACAUUUCUACCAUUCUUUGUAUUUUUUGUGAAGUCAGUCAGUCACUAUUUACGUCCUGCUGCCAACUGCUCUGGGAUGGAUUUUAAGUCAACUGCUCCCAGCAACAAGGAGAUUGUUUGCCUUCAAAAUAAAAGGGCACAACAAAGCAGAAUGGAGGAAAAAUAUUUAUGAAUAUGAAUGAAUUCCAUGAAAUACCUUUUAAAACGGGAAUUAAUCUUUAAUGUAUAGGCUUAAUGAUGAACUGUAUCCCUUUUUGUACUUUGUCACUUUAAAUGUUUCAUUAUGUGGCCUUUUAUGUGUUUGAAAGUCUGUUCUCCAGUUCUACUUACUGACUCAUUAACUAAGGUUUGAAAAUAGUAAUUACGUUAUUUUAUCUCAUUUAAUUUUACUUACUUUUUCUGGUCGCAGCCUAAUUGUACAUUCGAUUUGUGUGUAAAUACUUGAAAUAGAGUUUGGCUUAUUAUGAAAAUGUAUUUCAUUCCAAAAAUCUAAUCUCAUUAAUUUAUUAGCAGUAUUAUGUAUGUUACAUUUAUGCCUAUUGUACUUUACUCUGACUCUGACGUUCUAUCUUUUCCUAUUUUAUUAUGUUCCAUUUUAUGUUAUUCUCAUUCUAUUUUAAUUUUAUUCCACUGCUAUUCAAACCUGUACUCACUGUGUACUUAAGGCUUAGGUAAAAUAUUUCAAUUUCCACCAUGGGGAUCAAUAAAAGAUUAUCUUCUCUUCUUUUAGCCUUUAAUGUGAAGGAUGCUGCAGGAAGUGGAGUUCUGAAUAUAUUACAGUUGUUUGUGCAGCAGCUGUUUGAGCCCUGCCCAGUUUAUUCUAUCAUCAGCCUGCUGCUGUCAGUGGACACACACACACACACACACACACACACACACACACACACUUACAUUAUAACACACCAGUGGUUCAGCAUGUGAGCUGCUGGGGCUGAUGCUGUGAAGAUGAAGGACUCAGAGCUGAUUUGAGGAAACAUUUUCAUUGAAUUCCCCUGCUGACAGGUCAGGCAGUGUGUCAGGAAACUGGGGCGAGAUCUAUGGAUUUGCGGAGCAGCUCACCAACAGGUUUGUCAGUCCCAGGAUGAGGGUUUCCUACAUCGUCUUUUCGGCCAGAGCCGUCGUGAUACUUCCACUAACCGGAGACAGGU